UUGAGUAAAUUCUGAGAAACUGUAAAAAGUUAGAAAAUUCACUUGUAUCAACCUAACGGGUGACCGACAAUCUACAUCCACACUCCGAAAAGGUGGAAAAUUUCCUCGUCUUGUUUUAUUACGUAUUCAUGUUGUUUGGCACGUUUUGCGUGUAGUAAUGUGGUAGAGUUUAUGCUUCAUCAAUCGAAUAUUACGUAAUUCACCCUAUGUUUAUCCUUCGCGAUUGUAUCUACCUGGUUUCUGAAUGGACGCCCAGCUGAUUUUAAUGUUUGUGCAUGGUUGAAAGGAAACAGGAACUUGAUUUUAAGGUGGCUAUGUCACAGGGUGCAGCCUCUGUUACCGAAUUAAGCCAAUAAAUUUAUAUACGGGAAGUUACCUUUUUAAGCGACUUCUUAGAUAACAUGUAUUCAUAAUGUAUGAAAUAUAAGAGAUCGAACUAAGUCUAAGCGCCGAUAUUCUGCAACGAAAAAUUCAUUUUAUAAUAUAUAACCUCCUCGGUUAGAUCCGAGAGCAUUUUGUGUGUUUUAUUAAUACUGUACUGAAUCAACCCAGCAAACAUAUUUGUAUGGAAAAGGUUCUAUCUCGAUUCCUUAAUUUUGACACUCAAUAUUCGAUAAAACAAUUUUUUUUAAUAGUGAUUUUUCCGGGAAAUAUUCAAGGAAAAAUUCGAGUAUACUGACUUUGAUUCCUAGUCAAAAUUCGGAUAAAAAUAAUUGAACAAAUGUUUUUCAUGUUUGCAAUAAGAAUUUGGUAUAUUUGUUUGUCAUUUUUUAUUCGGGGAAAAAUCUUAGUUGCUAGAAACUUAAUCUUUUUCGUAUGGACUUAUGCCACGUCUCCAAAAGACGAAAGCAUACAAAAGAAUAGGAACCGUUUUAGGAAGUAACAUUAAUAUGUCAAACCUGUCGAGUGGAGUUUUUGUGC